GGAAGAGUUACAUUUGUCUCAAGGUAAUAGACUUAAAAGACAUGCCUUUCACUCCGUACUCUUACUGCUUUGAGUAGCAGGUAUGAAGAGCCAGCCUCAGGAGUUGUUUGUCUGUGUUGUGUGUCUGGGAGGCUCUGCACAUGGCUGAAGGUGUGGUUCCUCCCCCUCUCUUUUUUCAUUUUUCUCUGUGUAGCCUAGCUGUCCUAGAACUCACUCUGUAGACCAGGUUGGCCUUGAACUCAUAGAGACCCACCUGCCUCUGCCUCCUGAGUAGUGAGAUUAAAGUAGUGGGUCACCACCAGCUGACUAUAUUCUGUUUUGUUGUUGUUGCUGUUGUUUAAAUAAUGGCCAUAUAUUACUUUUCUGAUCAGGAAAAAAAAAGUGACUACAUGAACAUUUAGAAAAUUCUCUCCACAUUUUGCAGAUGAAUGAAACCAAGGUACCAGAUAGGAAAUGACUCACGGAAGAUCACGUGACUAUCAGUGGCUUUGUGACGAAGUUCAGGAAACCACACUUCCAUUUCGUACCCUGAUCACCCUGGUUUGAGUUAGUUACCAGUAGUUUUUAUAACAGGAAUCUUCUGAGCAUCAAUUUUGUCUGGGAACUCUGACUGUUCUGUGAAGAAGGGAGUGUUCCUUCAAAGCCGGGGAUCAGUUACGUAUAGUCUUCAGCUGAGGCUCACUGCUAGGGGAGCUUCCAAAAUCAAAACCCUGUUCUCAUGGGUCCUCCACUACCCCCUGGAAACGUGUCCAAAGACAGAGUGUGAGGGGACAAGGAAACUUGCGGCUGCUUUGCAGUUGGUAGAUUCUGCAGUUCACAGUGCAGCAGGGAUUUGAGGAACCCAGGUAAAGUAACAAAUGUAAAACCACACCCAAGGCCUGGAGGGCGGCUCCCUGAAAGCCUGCUCAAGGGCCUAGGUUUGAUCCUCAGCUAAUCAGAAGCCACCGGAAGGAGUCUGGGGUACCAAUUGGCGCUAGAGCAUAUGUUAACAUAUGAGUGUAUGCAAGGCUCCGGGCUCAGUCUCUAGCAGGAAAACCCAAACCCAUAUAAAGUAAUAACAAAACCCCAGGGCAAGUACAAUCCCAAGAGGAAACCCUCAUGCUUGCUAUAGACUGAGCAGUGGUAAUGACUCCAGUGAAAACAAACAAACAACCCUGGCUGGUG
rnacentral:lncRNA from 1 species